ACGAACCGUGCGAACGUUGUUCGGAAUCACUGGGCUUAAAGGGCGUGUAGGCGGGUGACCAAGUCAGGGGUGAAAUCUUUCGGCCCAACCGGAAAAGUGCCUCUGAUACUGGUCGUCUUGAGGGAGGUAGGGGUCGAGGGAACUGGUGGUGGAGCGGUGAAAUGCGUAGAUAUCACUAGGAACGCCGGUGGCGAAAGCGCUCGACUGGACCUCUUCUGACGCUGAGGCGCGAAAGCCAGGGGAGCAAACGGGA
rnacentral:rRNA from 1 species